GGACAGAACAAGAGGAAACAGGCUGAAAGGGCUAAGAUUUGAAUUUAGAUACUGAGAAGGAUUUCCCUAUGGUGUGUGAAGCAGAGGCCUGGAGAUCCUAGGAAGGGUUCGUGGGAUGAGCCUCCAGGGCGUUCUGACCUGUGGAAGGAAGGCAGGUGACGUGGAGUCCGGCAUGGAGGCAGGAGACUGGACAACUUGAGCUUUCAGAACCGGCUAUGUAAGAGACACGGAAGCAGUGGAACGGGGUCCUACUACCUGAGGAGGAGAAAGAACUGCGGGUCUCCUUUAGGAGAGAAGUGGGGCAGAUACCCAUGAAUUCCGUUUGUCCGUCUAUUCAACACAGAGGACAGAGUGAGUUUUGUGGGCUGGACGCAGCCUGAGUUUUGCCCCGAGGUGGAGGGAGGAGUGAUCUCUCUGGGUCUCCUUCAGCUCUCAGCGCCAGCACCAUCAUGUCCUGAAGACAGCGGUAAACCAGGGGUCGUGGGGCCCGGGUUUCAGGCCUGGAUCACCCCUCUGGGCCUCACUUUCCUCCUCUUUACACGGAGGGGUUUAAACCGGAUACUUCCAGAGGUCGUGCCCAGCCUUCUACUAUCUUGUUUGGCUCUAAGAUUCAGAAAAUGGCCUGGUCCCAUGCCCGGGGGUCACAGCUCAGCUCCUCCAGGAUGUCCCCUGGACGGGUUCAUCCGCUCCUUGCCUACCCCUGAACCGUCAGGGUGACUCAUCUCAGGAUGGAACCUCUUAAGGAAGGGAUGGCAUGUCAGGGCAGCAGUCUGAGAGGAGGCGGUGCCCGCACAAUGCCUCAGGGGGAGUUGGCACGUGGCCUGGGCUCUGCUGAGAAGCUGCUCCGCACCACCCGCUCCGGGGCAGGCCAGCGACCCCUGCACUGCCCCAGCGCCGCUACCCUGCUCAGCCUCCUGAGGCUCUGACUCCGCCACCAAACCGGCCCCACCACUGCGGGCAAGAGUGGGGCUUGGACUUGGAGUCCCUGCGUGUGAGCCUUUGUCCCCACACCUGUGCCAGGCGCUGACAGUUCCUUCUCUACCACACCCGGGAAGAGUCCCCUACCAGCCGUAAGACCCGCACAGAUGUCCCGGUUGUGCAAGAGAGGGAGGCCGAGCCGUAGGGUAGGAGAAAGAGCGCGAACCAGGAGUGAGGAGACUGGAGGCUCCGCUGUGCCACGGGGGCCUCGGUUUCCUUACCUGUUCAAAGGUGCGUACUAGUGCCUCUUCUACUGAGAGGUACUUACCUGAGGGCUUGUUACCCAGAUGAAGGUAUAGCCACUGCAGAGGACUUUGAAGGAUGAAGGGACCGUUCUGAAAAAAAAAAUUGAGAAAUCCCAAAUAAACACAGGGUGAAAUAAAGAAACGAGAUACUG
rnacentral:lncRNA from 1 species